UUUGAGCAGAGUUUGGGUUAUGGAAGUAACAAAGAAACAUAGAUGCAGUACAACAGAGUUAUUGGGGAUGAAAUUGGGAUGCAGGAAAGUAAAGGUUGGUUAGGCUGGCAAUCAAACCUUAAUUAGCAGUCUUAACAAGAAUCUCACAAGGAGGAAUUUUAGCUUAAGGUUCAAAUUGUAAAUAAAUCAGCUUAAGGUUUGCCAUAGAAAAGGGCUUUGGCUGCAGAGAUGGAGAGGAAAGAGAACGGUGACGAGGAGAUUCAGAGGAGCAGGAGGGGCAUUGUUAUGUAGAACAGAUGGAGACACAUCAUCCCACCAACAUUUGUAGUUAUGCUUCAAGGAGAACCUGCAACUCUGGUCAACUCACACUGAGUGGGCAUAAUAAGAGGUUGUCCAUGGCUGAAAUUAUCGGAUCCCACUGUACUCUACUGCAAGCGAUGAUCGAAUCAUGCAUCUAACAACUGUACCAGCCCAGAAUGAAUCUUUUGGUACAUCAUUAUUGAACAAAUUCAUUGUCCCAUAGUCCACACCCGUGUCAACUGCCUGCACCUGCCUACAGCCCACACUUCAGGAGGAUCCUCGUAGAAAGGAAAUUUGAAAUCCUGC